rnacentral:rRNA from 1 species
UACGGAGGAUGCAAGCGUUAUCCGGAUUUAUUGGGUUUAAAGGGUGCGUAGGCGGCCGAGUAAGUCAGCGGUGAAAUUUGCAGCUUAACUGUAACAGUGCCGUUGAUACUGCAUGACUAGGAUUUGGUUGCUGUGGGUGGAAUGUGUGGUGUAGCGGCGAAAUGCUUAGAUAUCACACAGAAUAUCAAUUGCGAAGGCAGCUCACAAAGCCAAGAUUGACGCUGAGGCACGAAAGUGUGGGGAUCAA